GAAAAUUUCUAAGCAAUUCAAAUCUUGAAUUAUACUUUGUAAAUAUCCUGGAGGCGGGGUUUGUUGGAUAUACAGAUACUUUGUGACGUCACGUGUCGAUCAUGAACGUAUGUCGGGAUCAGGGCAUGACAAUAUCUUUUGGACUAAGAAGGCAAAGCCUAUAUAAGGAGGAGCAAAUACCCAAAGAAAGCACUGGAUUCUGCAAAGAGAAUAGGCUUAAUAUUGUAUCAUUGUAUGUUCCUUGAAAGCCUUAUAACCCAACAUAAAUAUUACAUAUUGUUAGUGAAUGUAACCCGUCUCUUUGGAUGAACCACUUAAACUCAUUUGUCUUUUAAAUAUCAAGUACAAUUGCACCUAUCAUAGUUAAUCGUAUUGAUCUUUUGUUGACCUCGCCAUAUUUGAGCGUUAACAAGUAUCACAAGCCAAUUACCAUUAAACAAUGCAUAAAUGGCUUAUGACAUCCACUAUAGCAUUUUUGUUGCAUGAUAGUCAUUAUUAGACUGAUGAAGUGGAUAAUACUUUUUAAGAUAGUGCGUAAGUGACUUGUGAUAGUGCCAUUAUGACAUUCAUAUAGCAAGAAAGUUAUUUUCGAUGAUUAGACUGAUGAAGUGACAAAUAUUAUUUAUGAACAACCAACAACAAUUAAUAGCAAGCCAAGGCAUUGUCACAACAAAAUAGCAACAUGGACGCAAGUAUGGCAAGACAAACAAGGAAACCCUAACAAAUUUUAGAGGUAAAGGCAUAGGCAAAAGCUUAAUAAACUAAGGUAACAUGAAGGGUAAAGCAAGAGAAAAGUAGGACAAAAUCCUAAAAAUAUAAAUUUAGGGUCAAAUUUCUUUAUCCCCAGGUCUGCUAAGUUGUAAAAUUCUGAUAAUAUUCUAAUUCCUUAGCAUGAUUUCUGACUAUGGUCAAUUAUUCUCCGCCAAAAAUUUAUUGCUGUCAAGUCUCAAUUUCUUUGAUUAAAACUCUGAACCUAAACUUAUUAUGCGACUGAUUCAUUCCUAUCCCACCAGCCACAAUCUUCGAUCCUUAGAAUAUUCUAAUCCUUAUCAGAAAGCAUCUCCAUCCUCAACAAUCCUAACUUAUCCAGGACUCGGCUACUCUAUCAACACUAAAUUUUUCUUCUAAGCCGAGCACUUUGCCAUUGAGCCGAGAAUUAAUUCGGCCAAAAAUGUAGAAAAUAAAUCAAUUCUAAUUGAACAAACGAACGUAGUUACAAGGACAAACAAACCUCUCUGAUGACCUAACUGAAAGAGAGAUCUUAGACAAUAAAAUACAAUCUUGAAAUCCCAUGAACUUUUCUAUUUUCUGAUGCUCCAACAAUAACCUCUACGUCACCUUUUUUUUUUUUUUUUUUGGGUAAACACCUAUAUGUCACCUUUAUCCUAUCCCCACAAAGACUGGGACCAACUUGUUACAUACCCUCAACUACAAGGGUCCAAAGUGCAAUUAGCUUUAAUUUUAAUUGAUUAAUCUUAAUGGUCAAAUCCGUGGGACCCAUAUUGGAUGUGGUUGGUCAGAGUGGCGUCCAACC
rnacentral:lncRNA from 1 species